rnacentral:lncRNA from 10 species
CAGCAGAGGCCGGGAGCGGUGGCUCACAUCUGUAAUCUGAGUACUUUUGGAGGCCAUGGUGGAUGUAUUGCUUGAGCCCAGGAGUUCGAGACCAGCCUGGGCAACCUGGCAAAACCCCAUUUCUACAAAAAAAUACAAAAAAUCAGCUGGGCUUGAUGGGGGCAUCUGUAGUUUUAGCGACUUGGAGGCUGAGGCGAAGGAUCCACCCGGGCUUGGGAGGUCGAGGCUGCAGUGAGUUGUGAUUGAACCACAGCACUCCAGCCUGGGUGACAGUGCAAAACCAUCUCAAACAAAAAGUACAACUUAGCUCAGGUUUGAAUAGAAGGCUCCCUGAGAUGCUGUUGUUGAAACAGCCACAUUGUAUGGUGUACCCUGUUUGAGAUCAGCUUUCACACCGAUGAGGGUGGCUUAGCUAGAGAGCCAAGGCUCUGUCUCCCAGGGCUUUCCUGAUGGUCUCCUUUGCUUUCCUUCUCCACUAAGGAGGACGGCCAGCAGCUGCUCAGCCUGUGCUGUUAUCCCACCUUUUCCACACACGCCAGCCCCCUGUCCACAGCACCCAAAGCUGCCUGAGGGAUUCUUCAGCAGCUCCCAUGAGCUGACAGUGACUCUUAUGUUUCCUAGGUGUCAAGCCUGUGGCAGCAGAGCUUCCUGGGGAGUCCUCAGAGCAAGUCAUUGCCAUUGUCGAAGUGUCUUCUAGGCUUUAUUUUGGGGCCAUUACCUCGAGCACUGUUUCUUGUCUGGUUUCCUAAUGUCAGCAACUGAAGAAAAGACCUGUAUACACAGGACACAGCAUGGUCUGACGCUCACAGUGUUUUCCUUUCUCUCUGCAGAGGGAUUCAGCACUUUGGGCAAGUGGUUGCACAGAGGAUCCCGUGGAAGAAUUCAUAUAUGAAUCAGAUGAGAAUGCCCCAGGACCAUCGUAGAUACCAACAAGCCCUCUCCCGGCACCUGCAGAAAAAGUGGGGAAAAUCCCCGAAGAGGCAGAAACAUUCAUCCGGAAGGGCCGCCAGCCAGUGGAUUUCCCGGGCCCCUCAGCCCUCUGGAGUGUACGAGUUUUGGAGAAACCUCUUCCUCUGUAUAUGCUUUUGACUUUCCUGGACUGAUGUAAAAAUACUCUUUUCUUUGACCUGUUUAUUUUUAAGACACGAUGUGAUUGUGUCAGCUUAUAUUUUAUUGCUGAAGUAAAUUUUCAAAUGUUUUAUUAGUUUUUUUUGGAUCUUUGUCCGCUCAUUUUGGAGUUUUUGUAAUUUUGAUAGGUGUUCUUUUAUGCUUUGUAUUGUUUUCUUAAUGACUUUUACCUUAGUUUUUAACAAACCCAUAGUACAGUGUUAUACCCAAGCGAGUCAGAGAAAACGCCACACUUUGAGACGAAUUAAGAGUCCAUUAUUGGCCGGGCGCGUGGCUCAAGCCUGUAAUCCCAGCACU